rnacentral:rRNA from 1 species
AAAUUGAAGAGUUUGAUCAUGGCUCAGAUUGAACGCUGGCGGCAGGCCUAACACAUGCAAGUCGAACGGUAACAGGAAGAAGCUUGCUUCUUUGCUGACGAGUGGCGGACGGGUGAGUAAUGUCUGGGAAACUGCCUGAUGGAGGGGGAUAACUACUGGAAACGGUAGCUAAUACCGCAUAACGUCGCAAGACCAAAGAGGGGGACCUUCGGGCCUCUUGCCAUCGGAUGUGCCCAGAUGGGAUUAGCUAGUAGGUGGGGUAAAGGCUCACCUAGGCGACGAUCCCUAGCUGGUCUGAGAGGAUGACCAGCCACACUGGAACUGAGACACGGUCCAGACUCCUACGGGAGGCAGCAGUGGGGAAUAUUGCACAAUGGGCGCAAGCCUGAUGCAGCCAUGCCGCGUGUAUGAAGAAGGCCUUCGGGUUGUAAAGUACUUUCAGCGGGGAGGAAGGGAGUAAAGUUAAUACCUUUGCUCAUUGACGUUACCCGCAGA